GAUGAACGCUGGCGGCGUGCCUAAUACAUGCAAGUCGAGCGAACGGACGAGAAGCUUGCUUCUCUGAUGUUAGCGGCGGACGGGUGAGUAACACGUGGAUAACCUACCUAUAAGACUGGGAUAACUUCGGGAAACCGGAGCUAAUACCGGAUAAUAUUUUGAACCGCAUGGUUCAAAAGUGAAAGACGGUCUUGCUGUCACUUAUAGAUGGAUCCGCGCUGCAUUAGCUAGUUGGUAAGGUAACGGCUUACCAAGGCAACGAUGCAUAGCCGACCUGAGAGGGUGAUCGGCCACACUGGAACUGAGACACGGUCCAGACUCCUACGGGAGGCAGCAGUAGGGAAUCUUCCGCAAUGGGCGAAAGCCUGACGGAGCAACGCCGCGUGAGUGAUGAAGGUCUUCGGAUCGGAAAACUCUGUUAUUAGGGAAGAACAUAUGUGUAAGUAACUGUGCACAUCUUGACGGUACCUAAUCAGAAAGCCGCGGCUAACUACGUG
rnacentral:rRNA from 1 species